GUUCUCGUGCAUAGCUGUCCUGAGCUUUAUGACCCUUUCACACCCUGGUAAACGUGCAUAAUCGCGAGAACAGACUCUUUUGUUUUCUCUGUACCUUCUAGUUUCGCUGAAACCACCUUCCUGGUUCCUCCUGUUCUAGGGGGUGUAUGGUCUGCUCUUUCAUGUAUAACAAAAACGACUCCUUAUCUGGCGAGUUUCACCUUGUCUUGUCACGCAAGCUUCUGAAUGUAUAUAAACCCUGCUUUUUCUAUGUAUCACUGAGCAGUGCUUGAAUAAACCAGAUUGAUUUAACUCGUGUGGUUCGUUUUAGCCCUGCUCCAGAGCGCUCUUAUGUCGACGCAUCUGAACUAGGACAGACGCAGGUUCUAACAAUUUGGUGACCCCGACGUGAUACUCUCAAUCAGAAAGUUGCUGUGACAAUAGCUGACGGCCUUUUCAGGGAUCCCUUUUCCAGCAUCCGGAGUGAUCCGGUUUCGGCUGAUCUACAAAGAGGGGAUGGUCGGUGCGUCCCGCAGACUUCUGGGCUAAAGAAUCUGGAAGACACGUGAGCCUGGGCUACCUUCAACUAUCUACAUCCUGUGGACACAGAAAGAACAAAGUCAGUGACCAGUAUGACUUUCCUUCUGGUAUUGGUCUUAGUGCUUGGAGCAGGGAAUCCCGCUCAAGCCAGCCACGAGGACAACGUUUUUUGGCGAUUUGCCAAUUGGACUGCUAAACAACAUACUAAUCAGUCUUGUUAUGUCUGUCAAUACGUUAGAGUCUAAACUGUAGUUAUACUCUGUAAACAAAGUAUAAAAGAGGGGAUUGUAAGAUUGUAUGUGUGUUCUCGUGCAUAGCUGUCCUGAGCUUUAUGACCCUUUCACACCCUGGUAAACGUGCAUAAUCGCGAGAACAGACUCUUUUGUUUUCUCUGUACCUUCUAGUUUCGCUGAAACCACCUUCCUGGUUCCUCCUGUUCUAGGGGGUGUAUGGUCUGCUCUUUCAUGUAUAACAAAAACGACUCCUUAUCUGGCGAGUUUCACCUUGUCUUGUCACGCAAGCUUCUGAAUGUAUAUAAACCCUGCUUUUUCUAUGUAUCACUGAGCAGUGCUUGAAUAAACCAGAUUGAUUUAA